rnacentral:snoRNA from 1 species
UUGCCCUGUUCGUAACCCCUUGACAGCAUAUUUCUGUGAAUAGGUUCCAUUCCAGUGCUACAUGAAAUCCAAUAAUGGAAGGCUGACAAAUUCCAUGCCCAUUCUGUAUUUGGAGACAAAA